rnacentral:lncRNA from 1 species
AUUUUACAAGAACAUUUGAGGCAGGGUUGUAGGAGACAGAAUGAUGAGGCCUAGCUUCUCCUUUUGGAUUAUCUAAUAUAUUGUCUUGAGAGCAAUUAACUAAACUUGUCAUUGAAAAAAAAAUCAAGAGUUGUAGUGGUAGGAAAUCAAUGGCCAUAUAUGAAGCAAGAGGAGUUUGAUGGGCAGUCAUUCAAGAGUUGAAUCAAUUGGGAUUUGGGCAAAGAAAUUUUGGCCAUCGUGGGGUCUACUUGGUUUGGCCUUAAGGCACAUGGGUUUGGUCUGGUUGUAGAAGAGAGGCAUUCAUCUUUCAAAGCUAAUAGGAUUCUUACAGCAACUACUCAGAUUGCCAUGAUAUUGCCACAGCUAAGCCUUUGGCCCUUUUAUCACGUGACAACCCUUUCCUCAUCACAUGCACCCGUUACACGUGGCAGCAUUUGGGAGAUCAUGGGAAGAUAAAUAUAAUGAUUUUUGUCAAAAAUAAAAUGGAAAAUUACCCAAAAGCAAAAAGGGCGAUUAGUAAUUAAGAUUAUCUCAUAUUUUAAUUAUUUGUGAUUUGAUAUUCCACAUGAUGAUCUUAUGGGUCCAAGUCCAUUGCCCAAGCAAUCCUAGAAUUAAGAAAGUGGAAUUUGACAAGACCAUCAUUCAACAAACUCCACUUUAAAAAUCCUCUAGAAAGAAAUUAAUUACUUAUAAGUAACCUUUUUCAACAGUAGUCAUGUUAAAGGUACCUUUUUUAUUCAUGAUGUUGCUGGGCCAAUUGGUUGAUGGGCCAUCAUCCAUAACAUAUUUGCUUGUCCCCACAUUGUGAAGCCCACCACUUAAAGGCACAUCAUUACAACAUAGAAAUUUAUUAGAAGCCAAUUAGGUAAGAUGGUAAAGAAAAAUAUAUUGUAAUUCAGUUUUGAUCAUUUUUUUCAUUAUUAUAUUCGAGAUUCAUAAACACGAUCUCUUGUUGAAGUUGGAUGGAGCUAGUUAGCUUUGAUGAUCCCAUUUUCUAUCUUUUGUUUAUGAACUUGCUUUUCUUGUGAAUCCACUGAGGAGACUUUCGCAGAAUGGCCCUUGUUGAACAACACUCGCUGGAAGAAGCAACCACUGGAAGAAGAUUUAUUGCUUAUUUCGUUUGCAUCAGCAGAAAAAGUUCCUUUAACUGUCGCUUCUUUCUUCAUCUUUUCCUUGUGAAGCUUUCUCAUGGUGUAAGCUUCCGCCAGCGUACACCCUGCAAAACCAGCUUCUGUUGCCAUACCUGGACAGAGAUGAUGGAUUGAGGUUUGGCCAAAUUAGAGUCGGAGAAGAUGACGAGGCUGAGGUUGCGAAGCAGAAGCAGCAGAGGACUGAUUUUAUAGGCUUCUAUAUAUGGAACGCGUACUAUAGGAGGGGAAUUCAAAAAGAGGAUGCGUUAUUGGCUGGCAGGCUUGGGUGACCAAUAAAAUAAUUAGUGGGGGUGUGAUUGAGCAUUUUUCUAAUGGUGUAUGUAUAAUGGAAUCAAGAUGAGAUUAGAUCUUUUAUACGUGCAAUUGCGUAAGAAUACGACGUAUUAAGCCACUCUGAUCAAUUGGAUUAAAUUCUUCUAUCCACUUAACCUUUACUUUCCAUUACCUUACUUUAUUUUAUUUUAUUCAAAUUCAUUAUUAAUGUUAAUACACUCAUACAAGUUAAAAUUGAUA